CCGCCCGUAGCUCAGUUGGUAGAGCAGCUCCCUUUUAAGGAGAUGGUCGCAGGUUCGAUUCCUGCCGGGCGGACAA
rnacentral:tRNA from 4 species